CUACAACAUCAACAUAACUUAAAUCUUAUCUGCUGUCAGAGACAUUGCUCAAAUUUUUUUUACCCUCAAGUCUUUCCUGACUUUGCACGGUUGGAGUGGAUCUUCCUUUUUCUCUCUACUCCCGCUAUACCUCACUGACAUCACUCUUUUUGGCGUUUAAUUUUACUUUGUGAACUGUUUAUUUUGCCGCUCUAAUAUUAGAUUGUAAGCUCCUAGAAGCCAAAAACAUUAAGAAUACGCUUAUUAUCCUGAAAUAGAAGGCUUAAGACUUGCUCAUCACUUUUCCCACUAUCAGAAAUGUAGUGCCUUCUCAAAUGCUCGGCCCCAUACACGUUCUUUAAGUUCAUAAUGGCCACUUGACGUCCUGUGGGCAAUGAAAGAUGUAGAAUGACUACUACAAAGAAAAAGCUUCAUCCACCUCUUCAGGCAGGAAUGUACUGGAGAGAGUGACUGAUGCAAAUCCAGGUCAUUCCAGAAAUUUUUUUGAAAAAAGCAAAGCUGGACAGGUUGGGGACCAAACGUUGAGGAAUAAGGCAAGACUCAGAGAGCGAGCUGGAAACAGAGCUUGAGUCCCUUACUGCUGUGAACUCCAAGAACGAGAGAGAGAGAGAGAAGAAGCAAGUAGCGAAAAGGCAAAAGGAAUAAAGCUUUCAUAUUGGAGAUGAAGAUCUUGAUCCGUGAUCUUGGGAGAGCUGUCCACUACAAGGUGCCAUCCUGUUUUGAGGAAAAGCACAUAUGUAAUUAUCUGAAUUGGAAGCAGAAUUGGCAGCUUUCUUCAUGGAACACCAUUUUUACUUGAAAGAAUAACUGAAAAACAGACAAACUAUGAUUAGUCAAACUUGCAUCUUCAGUGGACAUUUUCUCAAAAAUGAAUGAAGUGAGCCUGUCAUUCCAAAGAAAACAACUGAAAGUAUUUGUUGCCAAUAUAAAAUUUGAGCUUUCAAUCAAAAAGUAGAAGUUUGGAUGACUUUUAUCUACCACAAUGAACUUGACAUCUUCCUAAUACUUAAAGAUUUUUUUCUGAUGAGAUUUGUGAUUAUGGUAACUGAUGUGAUUUUUUAAUAUUGUAUAAUGAGAUAUGUCAACAUUUGGAAAAUCUACAUAACUCAGAGAACUAAUAUUCUCCAAAUGAUCAAUGCAUGAUGUUUAAAAUCAUUCAUGAGUUAGAGAUCCAUUCAGAGUUCAAGAUAAAUGAAUGGACUCUAAUGUAACAAUAUGAAUGUUUCUUUAUAUGGUUUCAGAUUCCAGAUUGUAACUAACGUUUAAGAAACUAUUAAUUGUCAAGUUUUGGCAUAGUUUCAAAAAAGAACAUCCAUGAUGAUCUGAAAGGCUAUUAAAAAUACUUCUUUUU
rnacentral:lncRNA from 1 species